GAUGAACGCUGGCGGCGUGCCUAAUACAUGCAAGUCGAGCGAACGGACGAGAAGCUUGCUUCUCUGAUGUUAGCGGCGGACGGGUGAGUAACACGUGGAUAACCUACCUAUAAGACUGGGAUAACUUCGGGAAACCGGAGCUAAUACCGGAUAAUAUUUUGAACCGCAUGGUUCAAAAGUGAAAGACGGUCUUGCUGUCACUUAUAGAUGGAUCCGCGCUGCAUUAGCUAGUUGGUAAGGUAACGGCUUACCAAGGCAACGAUGCAUAGCCGACCUGAGAGGGGGGAGGGCCAAAAGGAGACAGGGAAAAGGAACAGACAGCGAGGGGAAGGAGCAAGGGGGAAAUCUUCAGAAAGGGGAGAAAGCCGGAAGAACAAACGCCGGGGGAGGAAGAAAGGUGUGGGGAUCGAAAAACUUUUUUAUGGGAGAAAAAAAGAUGUGAAAGUAAAGGUGAAAACCUGGAGGGUACAUAAGAAAAAACCCAGGGAAAAAAAGGGC
rnacentral:rRNA from 1 species